GGGGUCGUAGCUCAGUUGGUUAGAGCGCCAGCCUGUCACGUUGGAGGCCGCGGGUUCAAGUCCCGUCGACCUCG
rnacentral:tRNA from 2 species